AGGUCAAUUAUUGCUGCAGUUUUCGGAUCAUAGUAUGGAUUCGAUGCAGCAAUGCCGAGUAAGGGCUAGUUUGGAAAGAUAUUGUCAUCUAUAUUUUCAAGUGAAAAUCUAUGUCAAUUCUACUGGACAUCAGGCUGCCUCAAGGGGUAUAUCGAACCUGGAACCGCCAAUACCUCUAACCACUCAUCCACGGCCAGGCCCAUUAUUACUUAAUGUAUAAAAUCUAAGUGAAGAACGAAAAAACAAACUAAGUGUGGUGUAUUCAGGGCCGUUUUAGAAAUUUGGCACCCUGGAGCACUGACAAAACUGCCGCCCC